rnacentral:tRNA from 1 species
UGCCGGGUGGUGUAAUGGUAGCACAGCGGCCUUUGAAGCCGUUUGUCUUGGUUCAAAUCCAGGCCUGGCAG